rnacentral:rRNA from 1 species
GACGAACGCUGGCGGCGUGCUUAACACAUGCAAGUCGAACGGGCCCGCCCCUGUUUUUGGGGGUGGGUUGAGUGGCGAACGGGUGAGUAUCACGUGAGUAACCUGCCCCCUGCUCCUGGAUAACUGCUUGAAAGGGCGGCUAAUACGGGGUGUGCCGGCUGGUCCGCAUGGGCCUGGUCGGGAUAGUUUCAUCUUCGGGUGUUUCGGUGGGGGAUGGGCUCGCGGCCUAUCAGCUUGUUGGUGGGGUGAUGGCCCAACAAGGCGGUGACGGGUAGCCGUCCUGAGAGGGUGGGGGGCCAAACGUGGGACGGGGCACCGCCCAAGACCCCGGCGGAGGGAGGAGGUGGGGGAAUGGCACAAUGGGCGGAAGCCUGAUGCAGCGACGGCGCGUGAGGGAUGGAGGCCUUCGGGUUGUGAACCUCUUUCUCCGGUGGGGAAGGCCCUGUCCGUUGCGGCGGGGUUGACGGUAGCCGGGGAUGAAGCGCCGGCUAACUACGUG